GGCUGGAGUGCAGUGGUACGAUAUCGGCUCACUGCAAACUCCGUCUCCUGGGCUCAAGCGAUUCUCAUGCCUCAGCCUCCCAAUUAGCUGGGAUUACAGGCGCCCACCAGCACACCCGGCUAAUUUUUGUAUUUUUAGUGGAGAUGAGGUUUCACCAUGUUGGCCAGGCUGGUCUCAAACUCCUUACCUCAAAUGAUCCACCCACCUCAGCCUCCCAAACUGCUGGGAUUACAGGCAUCAACCACAGUGCUGGGCCCAAAAUCACAAAGAUCUUGAACUAAGUACUUUGAGUCAUCAACCUAAUGCCAGGAACCACCUGCCUCCAGAAUUUCUAUCAGGAGAAAGAGAAAUUGCAAAGAUUCCACCUACAGAUGGCUAUGCAAUCCCAAUACCAGCCUGUAACAGCAACUUCCAUUUGCAUGGGGCCUUUUGAUGGAACCCGGUUUUCCCUGUCCUGAACGAGUUUUUCGUGACCCUUCAUUCCCUUCAUGACAGAGCAAGAAAGGAAAAAAUGCAACCUAUCCCUUCAAUGCCCCCUUUCAGCAGGAAGUAACCAGACUCCACACUCCUCUUCACUGUGGUGUUUUCCCUUUCUUGAGACCCCAAUUGUCAGGCCUGAGCCCAAGCUAAGUGAUCAUAUCCCCUGCGACCUGCACAUAUAUAUCCAGAUGGCCUGAAGCAACUGAAGAACCACAAAAGAAGUGAAAAUAGCCAGUUCCUGCCUUAACUGAUGGCAUUCCACCACUGUGAUUUGUUCCUGCCCCACCCUAACUGACCAAUUGACCUUGUGACAUUCCUUCUCCGGGGCAAUGAAUCUCAGGAGCUCCCCACCAAGCAUCUUGUGACCCCCACUCCUGCCCACAAGAGAACAACCCCCUUUAACUGUAAUUUUCCACUACCUACCCAAAUCCUAUAAAACUGUCCCACCCCAUCUCUCUCCCUUUGCUGACUCCUUUUUCAGAUUCGCCCACCUACGCCCAGGUGAUUAAAAAGCUUUAUUGCUCACACAAAGACUGUUUGGUGGUCUCUUCACACGGACGCAUGUAACAUUUGGUGCUGAAGACCUGGGACAGGGGGAUUCCUUCAGGAGACUGGUCCCCUGUCCUCGCCCUCACUCCUUGAGGAGAUCCACCUACGACCUUGGGUCCUGAAAUCAGCCCAAGGAACAUCUCACCAAUUUCAAAUCAGGACCCCACUGGAAAUCAGACUGUCCAACUUGCCCAGCAGCCAUUCCUAGAGCCCCUGGAACUCUGGCCCAAGGCUCUCUGACUGACUCCUUCCCAGAUCUUCUCGGCUUAUCAGCUGAGGACUGACGCUGCCCAAUCGCCUCGCAAGCCUCCUGGACCAUCACAGACACUUCAGGGGGCUGGAGCCCUGGGCCAAGGGAGACCUGUGACCCCAGGUGCCGCCGGGAGAACUUCAGCCCAGAGGGGAAAUCAGCUCUCCGUGACCCAGCACCCCUACCCAGCAGCGCAACAGAUCCUGAGAGGAGCUACAGGAUGAUUCUAGAAACAGCGCACUUCAGGAAUCAUGUUGCAGGUGUUGUGCAUUGGAUCCACCACAGUCGGCUGAAACUGACAACUCAAGACAAGUGGACCAGCCAGCAGGACCCAGAUCAUCCAACUCGGCUGAUCCUGAGACGGGACCAAACUGCUGCCGAAGACGACCGCCCUGUUCUGGUCACUCCGGAGGCUAACCAGCCUACGCAUGGCUGAAGUUUGAGGAAACAACAAGCCCUGCUCUAGUCACACACUGAAAGCUGACUAGUCUAUGCACGGCCAAAGCUUGAGGACUCAUCAAGCAAGUAAAUGUAGUUAGAAAUCUUAGAACUAGUAGUUUUCCUUGUAAUAUUAACUGUUUUACUAUUGUUCUGUCACUGUGCUCAACCUCCUCUCCCAAAUAAGGACCUCUUCUGUCCUUACUAGAUAUGAAUAUACUGUACAUUGUUUUACUGUUGUUACCCCACUUAACCAUGCUAGAAGAAACACCCAUAGAAGGGUGUCCCCAUCGUACACAUACUACAUGGUCAGAAAACAGUAUAACCAGGACUCUAUUAUACCAUACUUAUUAUGAGUAUACAGGGACUCACCUAGGAACUUGUACUUACAAUCAGAUCACCUAUUCAAUUUAUGACCCAGGAAAUGGCCAGCUACCUAGGUGGAAGAUAGGUCAUGGAGUUACCGUACUCCUACUUACGUGCUUAAGCGCAUCAUAAGGUUACAGGCAGGGCUUGAGAUCAUCACUAAUAAACAUCAAAUGCAUUAGAUUUACUGACCCAGCAAGCUACAAAAAAUGAGGAAUGCUAUCUAUCAGAACAGAUUAGCUUUAGACUAUCUCCUAGCCCAGGAAGGAGGAGUAUGUGGAAAAUUCAAUCUAACUAAUUGUUGCCUGGAAAUCAAUGACAAUGGAAAGACAUUUAUGGAAAUAACUGCAAGAAUAAGAAAAUUAACCCACGUUCCAGUUCAAACGUAGAAAGGGUGGUCUCCAGAUUCUCUCUUUGGAGGCUGUUUUUCAUUUUUCGGAGGGUUCAAGACUUUAAUAAGAUUGAUUCUGGCCAUACUAGGAAGUUGCCUAAUACUACCUUGUCUCUUACCUCUCCUUGUUAGAAACAUUCAGUCAACUAUAGAGGCAAUAGUAGCUAGGCAAACUACCAGUCAGCUAAUGGCUCUAUGUAAAUGUCAACCUUUGUCUAAAGAAGAAAACUUGUCUCUUCAUGCAAAAUUAAAUAAUAGUGAUGCCUCCUAUUAAAUUUCUUUUAUAAAAGGCAUCAAAGGGGGGAAACUGAGGCAGAAAUUUAAAAAUAAAUAUGCAUUCAUUCACUCCAAGAAAAGUUAACAGGCAAGGCAAGGGUUAAAAAGAAAAGAACAAGUUUUCCUCGGCCUAGCAAGCUCACUUCAAGGACAGUUAUAAGAUAAUGUUGUUUGAGAAGCCAAGUCCAAAGGAAUGGGUUCCAGACAUCCCUCCCCUCUAGAACAAGGUUGAAGGAAAAAAAAAAAAAAAGAAGAAGACAAAUUCCUUUACUGUUACUCCUUUCCCUGGCUUCUUAAGCAUGAUUAUGUUUUACAAAUGUCUGUAUUUAGCCAGUUCUUGAUUUUCUUUUGACACAGCUCCAAGGCCACCAGCUAUGCAAGGCCACAAGUUAUGCACUAUAUGAUUAACUGCUUUUGUUUUACUUUUGUAAGUCCACUUAUAAAAACCCUGCUCUGUCUUUGUUUAAUGCUCAGCUUUUUGGAUUUGAAUCCACUCAGCCGGUGCACACCUUAAAAUAAACAUCCUCCUGUACUCUCAUAUUGGUCUCUCCAUUCCUCAGUUUCCCACAAGAUUACAAGCAUGAGCCACCGCACCGGGCCCAUUUUAACCAUUUUCAAAUGGAGAAUUCAGUGGUAUUAGGUACAUUUAUAUUGUUGUGCAACCAUCACCACUAUCCAUCUACAGAACUCUUUUUAUCUUGUGAAACUAAAACUCUAUACCCAUUAAACACUAACUCCUCACUCCUCCCUUCCCUCAUCACUUGACAGCCAUCCUUCUACUUUAUGUCUCUAUUCAUAGGUAUGAGCUCCCCCAUGCCUGCCCAAAUCACUAAUCUAAAAGGAAAUGUCAAGCUGAGAACUUCUUAGGGCAAACCUGCCUCCCAUUCUAUUCAAAGUUACCCCUCUGCUCAGAGAUAAAUGCAUAUCUCAUUGCCUCCUUUGGAGAAGCUAAUCAGAAACUCAAAAGAAUGCAACCAUUUGUCUCUUUUCUACCUAUGACCUGGAAGCCCCCUCCCUGCUUUGAGCUGUCCCGCCUUUCUGGACCAAACCAAUGUUCAUCUUACAUAUAUUAACUGAUGUCUCAUUUCUCCCUAAAAUGUAUAAAACCAAGCUAUGGUCUGACUACCCUGGGCACAUGACAUCAGGACCUCCUGAGACUGCGCCAUGGGUGCACAUCCUCAACUGUGGCAAAAUAAACUUUAUUUUUUAUUUUUAUUUAUUUUUUAGAGACAGAGUCUCGCUCUGUAGCCCAGGCUGGAGUACAGUGAUGCAGUCUCGACUCACUGCAACCUCCACCUCCCAGGUUCAAACAAUUCUCGUGCCUCAGCCUCCUGAGUAGCUGGAAUUACAGGCUUGCGCCACCACACCCGGUUAAUUAGCAAAAUAAAUUUUCUAAAUUAACUAAGACUUGUCUCAAAUUACUGGGGUUAACAUUUUGGUAACCACAGAGGGACUCUGCAUGGAGGAACACUUGAACUUUGACAAAUCUUUUACUGGUGUUUGGUAUCAGCAUAAGCUAACUUUAUGAAUAGUUUGCUGAGGCCUGGGAGCACUCCUUCCAGAGAAUCCCUGCUCUCCCAAAGUUUGGUUGAGAUCUAAAGUUUAUUUUGCUGUACAACUCCCUCUUAUUUAUUUUUUUUUUUUUUGGAGUUUUACUUGCUUCCAACAAGAAAGGCAAGUUUUCCUGCUUCCAUGACAAUGGAAGGCAGGUAAUUCCUUUAUGGAGUUUGAGCUUGCUUCCAACAGAAAAGACUAUUUUUUUUUUCCUGCUUCUAGGACGUAGAGAGUAGUCUUCAGCCUGAGACCCAUCCCUAGGUAAGUAGCUGAAUUGAGGUUUUGUCUUGGCUAAAGUUAACAACCAAAUGGUCAUAAUUUCUCCUUACUGUUAAAGUGUUCAGUAAUCAUGUAAGUUGUGUGAUCAUUUGUUUUGUUUAACUGUUUUUCGUUGUUGUUGUUUCUGUUUUUGUUGUUGUUUGGGUCUUUGUCCCAUUAGGUUUGACCAACUCUAUCAGACUUGAUCAAAUCUGAAGGAAAGUUCCAAAUUAUGGGGAAGGCCUAUCAAAUACUUAAAUUCCCAUACACACACAAAAAGGUGGUAUGGUGGGGGAGAAAAACUGCCAGCAAAAAGAAAAAAGAGGUAAGAUUUUUGAUUUUGAGUACUACACGGGCUUUAUUUACAAGGCCACCUUUUAGCUAGCCAGGCCAAUCUGAAAGAGCAAUGGUUGUACUUCUGAAAUAGCAGCAAUUUUAAAAACAAAAGCAAACAAACAAAAAAUUAAAAACAAAAAAAUAAAGGCAGCAGCAGUGGCUCAUGCCUGUAAUCCUAGCACUUUGGGAGGCCGAGGCAGACGGAUUGCCUGAGCUCAGGAGUUCGCAACCAGCCUGGGCAACAUGGUGAAACCCUGCCUCUACUAAAAUACAAAAAAUUAGCCGGACAUGGCGGUGUGCACCUGUAGUCCCAGCUACUCAGGAGGCUGAGGGAGGAAAAUUGCUUGAACCCAGGAGGCAGAGGUUGUAGUGAGCUGAGACUGCACCACUGCACUCCAGCCUGGGCAACAGAGCGAGACUCCGUCUCAAAAAAAAAAAAAAAAAGAAAAUGAAAAUGAAAUACAAAAAUCAGCUGGGCAUGGUGGCACAUGCCUGUAAUCCUGCCUACUCAAGAAGCUGAGGCAGGAGAAUCACUUGAACCCAGGGGCAGAGGUUGCAGUGAGCUGAGAUCGUGCCAUUGCACUCCAGCCUGGGCAACAGAGCAAGACUCCAUCUCAAAAAAAGAAAAAAGAAAAGCAGAUGAAAUAGCACCAAUUUGUUCCAGUUGAAAUAUGGUAAUGAGAUUUAAAAACUUCUUUUUUUAAAGGAGCUCAUUUGUUAAAGCCAACUUAAUUAAAAGCUAACAUCCA
rnacentral:lncRNA from 10 species